rnacentral:rRNA from 1 species
GUGUCAGCAGCCGCGGUAAUACGUAGGCAGCAAGCGUUGUUCGGAGUUACUGGGCGUAAAGAGUGUGUAGGCGGUCCUCUAAGUUCGGUGUGAAAUCUCCCGGCUCAACUGGGAGGGUGCGCCGGAAACUGGGGGGCUCGAGUAUGGGAGAGGAAAGCGGAAUUCCUGGUGUAGCGGUGAAAUGCGUAGAUAUCAGGAGGAACACCUGCGGUGUAGACAGCUUUCUGGACCAUGACUGACGCUGAGACACGAAAGCGUGGGUAGCAAACAGGAUUAGAUACCCUGGUAGUCCACGCCCUAAACGAUGCAUACUUGGUGUGGGCCGUUCAGUCGGUCCGUGCCGGAGCUAACGCGUUAAGUAUGCCGCCUGGGGAGUACGGUCGCAAGGCUGAA